CGCUGAAGUGAGGAGUGCUGAACUGAAGGAACGAGGCAGGCCCAGGUCUGGAAGGCAGGGGUGCUGAGGGGCUGUACAGGUCCCUGGGACAGAGACACUAGCAGAGGAUAGGCCAUUGGGACAUCCAGCUGGAGAAAAUAAUGCUUCAUUCUCAUGCUUAUCACCAGGGCUAUCUCACCAUAAGCGUGGCACAGUGCUGCCCAUCAUGAUGGAGUUGGAGAUGCAACAGGAGUGUUGAUGAGGAAUCCUGUCAGAAGACUACAGCAGUCAUUUAAGCCAGAGAUGGGGCCUGUGGGAUCUUACCUCCCUGACCAGGGAUCGAACUUGGACUCCAUAUAUUAGCAGAAGAAGUAAUCACUGGACAACAGGGGAAGUCCCUGCAGUCACUUUUAACUGCUCGACUACACUGCUCUUCAGAGAAGGUCGGCACACACUUGCCCUGCAGGAGGUGCUCAGUACCAAAGUGAGCACCAUAGUGCCUCCAUACCAAGGUCUGCUGACUGUGGAAUUCACCUCCUGGGUUUCCUUUCUCUCAGGGAUUAGAGUUCUGUGAAAUAAAUAUUUGCUCCUGAUGGAGAGCACUGGACGGAGAGCUCUGACAACUGGAGGAUUGUGUGGGAAUCUAGAUCCACCCUCAGAAACCAUGCAGCCUCAGUCUGCAGGCACCACAUCUGAUUUGCACAAGAACAGAGGAG
ensembl:lncRNA